CCUACGGGAGGCAGCAGUGGGGAAUAUUGCACAAUGGGGGAAACCCUGAUGCAGCGACGCCGCGUGAGUGAAGAAGUAAUUCGUUAUGUAAAGCUCUAUCAGCAGGGAAGAAAAUGACGGUACCUGAGUAAGAAGCCCCGGCUAACUACGGGCCACCAGCCGCGGGAAUACGCAGGGGGCAAGCGUUAUCCGGAUUUACGGGGGGUAAAGGGAGCGUAGACGGGAGUGCAAGUCUGGAGUGAAAGGCGGGGGCUCAACCCCCGGACUGCUCUGGAAACUGUGCGGCUGGAGUGCAGGAGAGGUAAGUGGAAUGCCUAGUGUAGCGGUGAAAUGCGUAGAUAUUAGGAAGAACUCCAGUGGCGAAGGCGGCUUACUGGACUGUAACUGACGUUGAGGCACGAAAGCGUGGGGAGCAAACAGGAUUAGAUACCCGUGUAGUC
rnacentral:rRNA from 1 species